UUAGGAUAUAAGAAGUGUUGUGUAAUGCCACAUAGAGCAUGUUCAAAAAAUAUCGCCCGUUGCAACGCACGGGCAUUUGUACUAGUUUACUACUACUGCGGCAUGCAAUCGUAUGUCAUACACCCAGUUCGAUAUCACUAUAAAGAAUACCAAUGUCAGGCAUUCAACAUCCAUUGGGCCAAACGCCUCAACCCAUCACCCUCCUCUUGUCGUCCGCAGUUUUGCAGUUAGCAGCCAUAUCCAGCGGUAGCUCCGCCUCGUCUCGGUUCGCGAGCAGCAGGGGAGCCCCUCUCCCCUACGCCGGGAACCCGCUGGACUACGGGCCAGCUGUUUUUUGCAGCUGCGGCGCAAAGGCAGCCCGUCUGACCUUGUGGACAGACGGCAACCCGGGCCGGAGAUACCUGUCUUGCUCACGGGUGACGGUUUGCCGCCAUCCUCUCUGGCACUGGCUUUAUCCCAAGCCGAGCCCUUACGUGCGUGCGUGAGUUUUUGGUGGAUACGCGUGACAAGAUCCGUCUGCUGGAGAAGGAGAACGACGUACUACUAAACAAGAGUUCUGACCAGCAGCGUGACCGGAGUUGGCGUUCGCUGAUCGCUGUGGCUGCCUUUGCUUCGUGCAUGUCGGUCGGUUGACCUACCGCACUAAUCUUGGAGACCACAAAAUAAAUUGGCUUAAAGCCGAGCUCGAGCGGAUCAACUCGGCCAAAAUCAAUGCACCAGGAAAAAACAACCGAUUGCUUGUCGUCCUCGGUCCGGUCUGAGCAAUCAAAU